UCGGGAAUUUUGGGCAAUGGGCGAAAGCCUGAUGGAGCGACGUCGCGUGAUGGACGAAGUGCUUCGGCACGUAAACAUCUUUUAUGUGGGAUGAAAUUAUUGACAGUACCACAUGAAUAAGGGGCUCCUAACUCUGUGCCAGCAGGAGCGGUAAUACAGAGGCCCCAAGCGUUAUCCGGAAUCACUGGGCGUAAAGGGUGUCGAGGCGGUUGUAUUAGUCGUUCGUAAAAUCUACGAGCUUAACUUGUAGGCGGCGAACGAAACGGUACGACUUGAGGUUUGGAGAGGUGCGUGGAACUCACGGUGUAGGGGUGAAAUCCGUUGAUAUCGUGGGGAACACCAAAGGCGAAGGCAGCGCACUGGCCAAAAUCUGACGCUCACACACGAAAGCUAGGGUAGCGAAGAGGAUUAGAUACCCUUGUAGUCCCUGAGCGGGCUGGCAAGGCGCAU
rnacentral:rRNA from 1 species